CAAUAAUUCACAGGACACACAGCAAGGACUGGAACCAAAAUGUGAACAGAAUUGAAAACUCAUUUUAUCAUGAUUUUUGAGUACAUCCACACUAAUUAAAAUUAGGUGGAAAAGAGUCAUUGUUUAAAGAACGAUUUCUCAGAGAGUUCCAGUUAGUAUUCAAAAUAACACUGCAGCCAUUAGAGUUUUCUAGCACUGGGAUUGUGCACUUCCCACAGCAAUCAGAAACAAACAAAGAUUGCUAAGCUGUCAUAGGAAAAAUCAGAAAUAGAGAAAGAUUGCUAGAAUGUUGUAGGGGGGGAAAUGACAAAAGGAUAACACUCUCCUCCACCUCUAGGAUUCUGUAUUCUGUAACUCAGUAACAGAAUGUUGGGCUCCUCGGAGUUCUGGUUCAAUUUCUACUACUAAAGGUCCACAAGAACCCACUCACUCCAUUUUAGCCCCCCGGUUCCCAGCGCUAUCUUCAGGGCAGUGUGGAUUAUCAGCAUUGCGAGAGUCUAAACAGGAAUCGCAUACACUAUUCUAAAUUUUGAGGGCAGGCUCUUGUCUUCCGGACACCUUUGCGGAAGAGAAGUUAGGGGUGAGGUUUCAGGUCUGUGGCUGGAGAGGAGAAGCUGGAAAGGCCAGGCCCGCUGUUGGUCAUGCUGAUAGGGCCCAGCACACACCAAUGCUAACACCUGUCUGCAAGCACGGAAACAAAACUCAUCUCACACAAUAAACCCCCGGCAACCUGGGACUGCUGGCUGAGCAAAGCUGUGCUGAGGCCGCUGGAAGUAACGCGAGUUUCCCGGUGGUAGAAAAAUGCCUUUGGGUCGUUGGUAUUAGCAAGGACUCAGAGGCUGAGCUGCUUGUGUUCCGACAGAAACUUUCCACAACUCCGACUUGCAAAUCUGACAACCGGAGACUGAAGCAGAGUAGGUCAGGCGCUUAGUUCGGAGCCUAGGAAGAGGAUAACUCGUCCCCUCUUUUACUAAGAAGAAAACGUCUGUUUUCUUCCGGAAUCAUCUUUGACAAGAACUAUGAGAACGGAAUAAAGCUAAAAA